UGGAAAUGAUGAAAUAGAGAUAACUGGGUGUUGAAUAUUGUAUGAUUGGAAAUUUUUAAUAUGUAAGUUAAGUAAUUAGUAAAAAUUUAAUACUUAAAGCUACUUAACAGAGAGAGAGAGUGAGUGUGUGUGUGUGUGUGUGUGUGUGUGUGUGUGUGUAGGCUAUGGAAAGGGGGCACUGACUGGUGAUGCUGAUAUUGGAGUGCAUCUGAGGCUGUUGUAGAAAUACAUGGGUUGUUGAUUACAACAUUGCCAAUGAUUAUAACCCAAGAACAGCUCACCUGAGUAGCCUAGCACCCUAAAAUCUCUAACAGGUUCAUUAAAUAUGGUCCUGUGAUCUGAUCCAG
ensembl:scaRNA SCARNA7 small Cajal body-specific RNA 7